rnacentral:rRNA from 1 species
AGACGGAGGGUGCAAGCGUUACUCGGAAUUACUGGGCGUAAAGCGUACGUAGGCGGCUUGUCAAGUUGGAUGUGAAUCCCACAGCUUAACUGUGGAACUGCGUCCAAAACUGGCAAGCUCGAGAACAGUAGGGGACAGUGGAACUCAAGGUGGAGCGGUGGAAUGCGUAGAGAUCCUGAGGAACACCGGUGGCGAAAGCGACUGUCUGGGCUGUUUCUGACGCUGAGGUACGAAAGCCAGGGGAGCGAACGGGAUUAGAAACCCUAGUAGUCC